UACGGAGGGUGCAAACGUUGCUCGGAAUCAUUGGGCGUAAAGCGCACGUAGGCGGCUCGCUAAGUCGGAUGUGAAAGCCUCGGGCUCAACCCGGGAAGUGCAUACGAAACUGGCGAACUUGAAUAUGGAAGAGGGUCGCGGAAUUCCCGGUGUAGAGGUGAAAUUCGUAGAUAUCGGGAGGAACACCAGUGGCGAAGGCGGCGACCUGGGCCAAUAUUGACGCUGAGGCGCGA
rnacentral:rRNA from 1 species